rnacentral:misc_RNA from 1 species
AAGUCGUAACAAGGUUUCCGUAGGUGAACCUGCGGAAGGAUCAUUAUUACGUAUCCACGUAUCAACCCAAUUGUGAACUGUUUCCCGUCUGAUGAGGAUUUCUGCGACCAACUAAAAGCAUGGUGAUUCGAGGGUCAAACUUCGAACAAGCUUGGUCGGUUCCUGUGGACGUCAAACUCCGCAGCUCAUUAGAUGUGGUUUUUAUUUCAUCAUGCGCCAACAAUUAACCCCUUGUAACAAAAAUUGAACUAACGAACUUGCUACCCGAUAAAAAGGGUGGUGGAAAGACCGAAAUUAAGAAACAACUCUUAACAACGGAUAUCUUGGUUCUC